GAAGGAUAUGGCACAAAGGCGCGCGCACUCAAAACUGGAUCGUCUCGUGAGCUACAGUGAGCUACAAAUGGCGCCAGGUUCUUCAGCUUUGAAUGCCUUCCUACAAAUGAUAACUGGAUAAAAGAUUGAUGCCAGUGUCAUAAGUCUAAUGACAGAUGAGGAGCUGAAGACUUAUUUGCCAUCAUAUGGUGAUCGUCUAGCAGUAUUUGGAUUUUGCAGACGGAGGGGCAGCAGCCGCAAGUCAGCGCUUUUUGAACGGCUGAAAUCCAAACUGUCCAAAAGAAAAUUAUCUGAAGAGGAUGGCAGUAGUACACGGCAAGAAGAACAUUCCCAAACAACCCAUAAAAGAAAUGCUCUGAAGAGAAAUAGAAAAAUAGAAAUAGGAUGGAUGCAUUAUGAUGAAGACACUGAGGUUUUCAAGCAGGUUAGAGCUAGACGAGGAGGAGGAACAAGAAAAAUAGACAUUUGCAAGGAUGCCAAGAAAAGGGACAUAUUACAGGUUGCAACAGGCUUGUUCUUUCCAGAUGGAGGAAACAUUCAGGGGCCCUUAACAGAUUUCGACUGUGAUCUAAAGGAUUAUCAAGAGAUGAUAGUCGAUGAUGCAUUGACAGUAGGAGAACUUUAUCAUGUCACAAAACUAAAUAUCCUCAGGUUCUACCUCACCACAAAGAAAAACAAAAUGACAGCCUUCAGAGUUCCAGCCCAGGUUUGCAUCCAUCUUCAGAAAUUGAAGAGAGUCCUCAAAACCAAACCUCUUCUUUUACUGUCACUACAGUCCAAACAUCUGCUCCAUUUGAAACAAUCAGCCAUGAUGUGCCAUACAUUGAAGACACUCCAAACGAUAACCUUCCACAAUCUUCCACGCAGUCUCUAAGUGCUAACACUUCUCACAGCAGUGACAUUAUUUUUGUUGGCCCCUUUUCUGACAGUGAGCCAAUAAAUUUGGAUGA
ensembl:lncRNA